UUCCGGCGCUUCCAAACGCGGGGCGCGCCUCACGCGCCGCGCCCGCCGGGCAGCAAAUCACAGCGCAGCAAAUCGCCGUCCCAGCGACAGACGCUCCUCUUCCCCGCGCAGCCGGAGAGUCCGGAUCCUGUGCCUCAGCAUAACAUAAGGGACACCCCAUGACCCUGUGGGGCCCUCAGGCCUACAUCAAUGGAGUGAAGGCAGGAGAAAUGGAGAGGAGGACAUGGCCUUGAGGCAUUGCAGGACACAACUUUGGUGUCACUUCUUGGGCCAUGAAAGGAAGAGGGAGCAGGAAGAAUCAAAGAGGAAUCCAAGAAUGAACAAAUCUGAUUUUUGAAAUAAUGCAAUGAAAUGCGGAACUGGUCUGUUUUCCUAGCUGCUGCCGCUCUGUACCUUCCUCAUUGACCUCCACAAAGGACUUGUGCAUGACCUUGGACAAGUACAGGUCCUUCUUAGACGACAUUCCUGAGAAGUCUGCUCUGUCCCGUUCAAAGGCAUCAACCAUGCCCAUACUGCGAAGGACAUCCGCCAUGUUGUAAGAUUCCUCCAGUUUAAAUCUAGGAAAAAAAAACUUCCAUCUCUCGUGCUUGCAUCUUGUCUGGCUUUGUCCAUUCUAUGAAUCUCUCAUAAGAAAGUUUUUUCUCAACCUAGAAGAAGAGUGUUGGAUGUUUUAGGGUCUAGAUCAGUGUUGCCCCAAUACAGUUUUCUGCUAUGAGGUUAAUGAUGUAUGGCCAUGGGGCCAAAUGUGAUAGCCAUGAGCCAAUAUGGCUAUGGAGCACUAGAAGUGUGUGUAGUAUAAAGGAAGCCUUUAUUUUUAAAAUUGUGUUUAAUUUUAACUAAUGUAAAUGUAAAUAGUUACAGGUGGCCAGUGGCUACCGUAUUGGACUGCAUACAUCUGGAAGACAGCACAGUAAUGCUAAAUCAUUCAUGUAUGAAUAGAUGUUAUAUUUCUGGGCUUGCCUCUUCCUUUCCAUAAACUAAGUCAGACCAUUUCCCUGAGGCAGAAUUUUACAAUUUGGCUACAUUUGCUUGAGAACAGCUCUUCUCACAAAGUUUACUGUUGUACCUGAACAGAAGCAUGUUGAGGCAGGAGCUCUCAGAGUUGCCUUUUCUUCCAUCCAAACUUUCUUCCAACAAAUCCCUCAUCAUUUUCUGUUAAUUUAAAAUCCCAAAUCUCUCUCUUAUCUGGCCCUUCGUUCGUCUCUGCCCACCUUGUCGGGUUUUGUUUGAAACGCAUAGCAACAUCCUUUCUGACCUAUCUCCAUUCUUGACACUUCCAAUUCAUCCAUUGCAAGCAUAAGGAUUCGUUUGCUAAAAAUUCAAAUUACUGUCCAGCUAACGUUUUUCAUUGACUCUCUACAACCUUGCUAUUCAGUGUGGUCCAUGGGCCAGCAACCUCAGCAUCGCCUAGGAGCUUGGUAGAAAUGCAGAUUCUCAGACUCCUCCACUCCAGUCCUAUUAAGUCAGAAUCUUCUUUCUAACAAGAUCCUUAGGUAAUACGCUGAAUCACAGCAGCUGCUCCCCACAUAAUUGCUUUCUAAAGAGCAAACUCACAACUAUGGGGCAAGGUUGUGGAGAAGACUACUAAUACUAGUCAAUGGCAUACUCUGAGCAUCGUAACAAAUACACUUUAUACACCAUGCCUUGCAUUCUACAACAUCCCUCAUAGGGAGGUACUGCCACCACCUUCCAUAGGAAUAAGCCUGAGAGAGUACAGAUUUCUAACUUGUAAAGCAGGACAUUGAACUCUUACCUGGUUUGGCCCCAACCUGAGCCCAUUCUAGGAUAAGAGUAUUUUCUAAAUUGUAUUCAACACUUAGAACACCAUCCCACUGGAUGUAAUCACAAAAAGAGAAAAGGGCAUAUGGCCCAAUAAUUCAGGGAAACACUGGUAAAAACAAAUUUUCAAGGUUUCUUUUUUCCUUAAAAGCUUGUGAGAACCUUUACUAUGAUGAAAUGCAUACUUUAAACACUCUACCAUUUUCAAAUCAGUGUUUUCACUGGGAAGUAUGAUGAUCAUAUUCAGCUCCUGUCCAACAUAGGGAAGCACUAGAAUUUGGCUGGAUAUUUUCCUUACGCAGAUGAUUUUAAAAGUGGAUUCCUUAAACAUCAUUUGCACAGGUUUUUCUUUGUUCUAGAAAAGAAACAGAUAUACAUUAAGUUGAAGCACAAGAGUCAAAUAUUGGACAUAAUCAACAGAGUUGGUCCCUUUCUGCCGCUACAAACACUUUCUUUCUUUGGUCUCUAGAACCCCGUAUUAGACACUUCCUUUACUGGCUCAUGGUCAUUACUUCAAUAUCCAAACACCAGGGUGCCCAGGGCUCAGUCCCUACGUUGCUUUCUGUUGGUGAUCUUGAAGGAGAUCAGGAUAUGCCACUCUGAAAUAUACCAUUUUGGUUUAAGAAUAUUUUGAACUGAAGGCAUUAGAGUUUCUGAAAUAUCCUAUCUGCCUAGAAGCAGAACCUCCCAAAAGAACUCAAUUGUCCUUAUUCUCUUCCUCAGUAACAAUUCUAAUUUUCUUAGAGAUGAAAAGUCCGCACACACCCAUCAUUGUCACAAGACUAUUACUUCUGCCAUUGAUUCUGCUCCAAAAGGACUCAUGUAUCUUUUCACAAAAGGCAUUUGUUUUUCCCAAGUGCCCUUUAUUCCCCUCCCUUUCUCCUACUAUGUUGGAUAAAAACACCACAAAUUCUAAUGACCUCUUCGAGUUACUCAUCAUUGAGUUUUCCUAUGUACAUGUGUGAUGCACAAGUUAAUAAAUUUCUGUUCGUUUCACUCUUGUUAAUUCUUUUUGUCACUCUACAGGGACCCAGCCAAAGAACUUGAGAAUAUAGAGGAAAAAGAUUUCUUUUCUCCCGUAUAAUAUCAUUUAAUCUCAUGAAUUUAAAUAUAAAAUCCAAGUUGCACCUCUGGCCUGGAUCUCACCUUAGUAAUCCAGUAUCAUCCAUUUCGCUACCUACUCGACAUCAGCAUCUGAACAUACAAAACAAACCUCCAGUCUAACUUGUAACAGUGGGCUCUUCACAAUCCCUUACAAAUCUGCUCCAUCUGUUUUCUGUCCUAUCUCAGUUGAUGGGGACACCAUCUUUCCAGCUGUCAGGUACCCUGAAAUUAACCUUGACUCCCAUCUUUGUCUCACACCACAUAUCUGACACAUUAGCAAAUUAUAUCAGCCCCAUUUUUACAAUGUAACCAAAAUCUAACCUGUGCAUCCUACCUCCGCUGCCAUCAUCCUAAUCUGGGAUGGUGCCGUAAACUCCUGAGUGAUUGCCUGGUUUCUGUCCUUACCCUCCUUGUGAUUAUUCUCAGCACAGGAGCCCGAAGGACCCCGUUAAAAUGUAAGUCAUAUGAGGCGUGAAUUGAAAAUCCUCCUGACUCAGAGCAAAAGCUGAAGUCUUUGAAAUAACUAGUAAAUCGUGCCAUGAGUUUGUCCUCCACUGCCUCUCUGAUCUCAUCUCUUAGUGCACUCCCUUUGCUUGUCUGCCACAAUCACAGUGGCUGCUUCGCAGAUCCAUGGACAAACUAUCUCAACUCUGCCCACUGAACUCAUUCCCCCAGAACCUGUAACACAUAUGACCUUACUUCUUUCUGUCCUUGUCUCAAAUACCAUCUCCUUCAGUGAGGGCUUUCUUGCUGACCCUUACCUGAGGUUGUGCUGCCCAACCUAAACUUUCUUUUUCUUUUCUUUUCUUUU